CUCAAGGCGGGUACAGAAGCCAUGUUUCCCAGACGCAAGCUCCCACUCGCAGCUACACAACAGCAAGACCCCCUUACAAGCGACACCUGCAAAGCACUCACCAACCCAACCUCUCAGUGCCUGGCGCAGCACACCGCGACCUCCCGCCACCAGCGCUGCAAAUCGAGAGACCAAACAAAAGCGUACCCCUCAGCACACCAUCAAAGCUGGAUCCAGAUAUGGAGGCACCUUGCCCAGAGUUUCCAAGAGAGACACUUGUAGAAGCGGCGGCCGGGACCUCCCGACAUUGGGCAUAGGCUGAAAGCCCCAACGUAAAGCCCUACAA